CAGAAAAUCAGAAUCUUAAAUGCAUCUGGAACCUGGGAAUGGAGGCCUGCAGUUGGCAUGGGAGUGGCCUGUGAGAUUAUUUGUUAUUCACUGUUAAUCACAGUCUGGAAGCAGAUGAUCCUCCUCCUGACAUACGUUCGCUCAGAAGGUUAUUAGUAGACUAACACUACAUCACGAUGUCUAUGUCUUCUACCUCACUGCAUCUCCUCAGGUUACUGGCUUAGACUAAAGCACAGCUGAACAGGCAAGUUUUACUGAGAAUGUUUUUCCCAUGUGAGAUACCUCAGCAUCACUUCCUUGGAGCCUCCUUUCAAGAGCCUCCAAAUGAACAGGUCUGAGGUGGCCAGAGGCUUCAUUCUAACGAGCACCCCAGGUGAUUUUCAGGUCACUGACACCAGGUCUAUGGACUCCAGGUUAAGAAUCUCUGUGUGGGGGCAAAUACAGCCAGAGAAGUGGGGGACCAAGGAGGAUAACCUGGGACUCUCCAACAUGAAGUGGCACGAAGAAAAGGAGAGAACUGAUAAAGAAAAUGGGGAAAAGAAAACCGAGUGGAAGAAGGACCCAGUGAUCAACGUCAUGAUCCUAGGGUCCUGGGAUGGAGUCCUGCAUCCAGCUCCCUGCUCAGUGGGUAGACUGCUUCUCCCUCUGCCC